rnacentral:tRNA from 10 species
GGGAACGGAUGGGCUCCGGUGGGCUCCGCGGUCCUCAAAACCGUUGCGAGGCGUGCAAAACGUCUUGGAUGUGUUCGAUUCACAUACGUUCCCGCCA